GAGAAAUUGAAAGCUGAAGCUACCAUGGAAAGGAAUGACUUUGCAUAUCUUAUAGAGGGGAUGGAAGACCAAGCAAAUGAUGAAAAGUGCUACCCAAUGCUGGUUGUUCUGGCAUAUCUUCUGCCACCGUUGCCUGGAAGUCGCUGCAGUGUUAAAUAUGAAAUUUAAUUCCUUCAAUUUCCAUUUGUACCGCCUGGAGCCAUAUUGCAUCCCUCUGCAGCAGUUUUGAGACCGCAUCAAAGACCAGACCACAGCCAAUCUACAUUGAGAGUUUGAAGAGCACAACAUGACAAUACAUUGCGACGAUUGACAAAAUGACCAUUUCUGUGGAUGAGGGCCUGACGUGCUGUGGACAAGAUAUUCUAGGUGUGAAACUUCUGUCCACCACAGAUUAGUUCUGUCUUCACUUUCUAAGACUGGGACAUCUAAUAUUGAAACGCCACAUUCUCUUCCUUUUAAAACUGACAUUCCUACUUACUGUGCCUCUUUUGUGGCCCAAAUGUAUUCUUCAUCAAAUACAACUAGUGGAUGUAACAAGAAGUAUUACUUCACAAUUAGCACACUUACAAUUUUACAAUAUUUACAACAUUGAUUGUCAUUGAGAACAAUUUCAAAAUAUGUGCCUGAAUGUUUGUCUGAACUAAA